UACGUAGGGCGCAAGCGUUAUCCGGAAUUAUUGGGCGUAAAGAGCUCGUAGGCGGUUUGUCGCGUCUGCCGUGAAAGGCCGGGGCUCAACUCCGGAUCUGCGGUGGGUACGGGCAGACUAGAGUGAUGUAGGGGAGACUGGAAUUCCUGGUGUAGCGGUGAAAUGCGCAGAUAUCAGGAGGAACACCGAUGGCGAAGGCAGGUCUCUGGGCAUUAACUGACGCUGAGGAGCGAAAGCAUGGGGAGCGAACAGG
rnacentral:rRNA from 1 species